CGAGCACAGCGCAUGUGUAAACCAGCUGAGCAGGGAGCAUGCCAAGCGUGUUGUCAGGCCACGAAAUUAAGCUUUUGGUUUUGUAUCCCAAGAACUGAUGAAGCAAGUCUGAAGUUCGUCAUCCACUGUGUUCCCACGGACUGCAGAGCUUGGCGGAUGGCCAAAACCAACCUCGCAGUUCAGAAGAGAGACCCCACCCCCAAAGCCAACUACAGGAUGUGUUCCGUCACCAUCCUUUGAUUGAGCCAAACCUGUACACGUAGAGCUGGAGAUUCCUCUUUGAUGUGUCUGGUACCAGCUGGCCUCGAUGGAUCCUCUUCCACUACUCUAAGCAUUGAUGCCUGACUGUAGUGUGGCAUGAAUGAGUAUCCUAACUCGUCUACUUCUCUGCCUGCAGUACUAGUGAAUGUCUUCAUGCUGACACCAUAUAGCACCUGUUGGAAUCACAAAGCAUGGCACAGAAGCACACAGCAAGGCUCAGGGGUGAGAUUUGACAGGAUUUUUUUCCUGAUUUCAGGGUUUUAUAAGUGAUCUCUUUCAAAAUGUGAAGAAACUUGAGCUUAGGCGUGAGGUCAAAAUACAGACAGUUAAGAAAGAGUUCAGCGGUUGGUGUGAAUCCCCUUCAUUCCGUUCGUCUUUUGAUGUUGAACAAUUCAACAGUUUUAAAAGAACCAUCUGCCCUGGACUGUCUAGCUUCACGAGCAACCCUGACAACAAUGGAGUUUGUGGCCUACACAGCCAUAGUUGUGAACAAACGAUCCUAUUCAGGGAGAACUUCACUGGCCCCGGUCAGCCUUCCUGGGCUGGCUGUAAGGAUUAGUGGUUAACACCUUGUAAUAGAGACGCAAAACCAACUGCAUUCUAGGUUACAGACAUUUCUGUAGCUUCAGAAACGUUUUGAGUGGGUACUUCAUGACAAAAAGACAUUGCCACAAGAUCAUUCUUCAUCUUUAAACAUUUUUUAGACUGGAAAAGAAAUACG